CGAGCGAGCGUCUGAUAAGACAAGCUCUCGAUCGCUUCGGGACCAGCCGGCCGGCCUGCAGCUAGCGAUCUCCCCAUCGUCCGUCGUCGAUGACGGCCGGGACGGCGCCGGCGGUGAGGGUUCUGGGCGGGGAGGUGAGCCCGUUCACGGCGCGGGCGCGGCUGGCGCUGGAGCUGCGGGGCGUGGCGCACGAGCUCCUGGAAGAGCCGCUCGGGCCCGCCAAGAGCGCCAGGCUCCUCGCCGCCAACCCCGUCUACGGCAAGAUCCCCGUCCUGCUCCUCCCCGACGGCCGCGCCAUCUGCGAGUCCGCCGUCAUCGUCCAGUACGUCGACGACGCCGCGCGGUCCACCGCCAGCGCCGGCGGCGAGGACGAUUGCCUCCUCCUGCCGGAGGACCCCUACGAGCGCGCCAUGCACCGCUUCUGGACCGCCUACAUCGACGACAAGUUUUGGCCGGCGCUGGACGCCGUCUCCCUGGGCCCGACCCCGGCCGCCCAGGCGCAGGCGGCCGACGACACCCGCGCGGCGCUGCGGCUCCUGGAGGAGGCGUUCAGGGACCGCAGCGGCGGCGCGGCUUUCUUCUCCGGCCGCGACGCGUCGCCGGGGCUCCUGGACCUGGCGCUCGGCUGCUUCCUGCCGGCGCUCCGGGCCUGCGAGCGCCUCCACGGGCUCUCCCUCGUCGACGCGUCCGCCACGCCGCUGCUGGACGGGUGGAGCCGCCGCUUCGCCGCGCACCCCGCCGCCAGGCGCGUCCUGCCGGACACGGAGAAGGUGGUGCGGUUCACGAGGUUCCUCCAGGAAAAGUUCGGGGCCGAUGAUGUCUCCACCAAAUGAUAAGAUCCUCUCCGCCGCCGUUGUUAUUGUUAUGCGUCGCCACCAAAUAAACUUGUCGAUGCAUAUAUUAUUAUAUUUACAGAUUUGAUUGCAAGAAACUAAAGUCGACAGAUGCUUGCAAUCCCGAUUUGUAAACAUCACGCACACUACUUGGUUUCGCGGAAUAAAUUACACUAGAACUCUAGAAGGUUAGUCCUGAAGGCUGCAUCUUGCGGACACGGAGAAGGUGGUGCGGUUCACGAGGUCCCGAUUUCCAGCACGAACAAUUCACUGGCUGGUAGAAGAGCAUAGCAAACAAGCUGGUUUCCUCUUCAUCCAACCCCACCACCAUCAAGUUGCUUUUGUCAAAGUUAAUCUUCAUGCCAGUGACUUGCAUAUGGUGGCUUCAGUUUCGGGUCACACUGAUCGUGCCUUCCUUGUGAUCCUCAGGCGACAACUUUGGCUUCGGAUCAUGCUGAACACAUGACAUCACCCAAAGGUUCGUGCAUCAUCCAAUCUCAUAUGCUAGCUCCGAAAUUUCCUGCUCAUUUGUUGUAACCAACAUAUUAGUACCGAAAGUUAGAAAAAAAUCCAAAGGUUACAGACUCAUGUAAGGAAUGGCUGGAUCACUUGUGACCUUCGGCUGGCUUUAUUAACUGUGGUGUUGGGUACGAAAACAAGGCUGGGGUUACCUCAAUCUCUACAUGUGCCUGGACUACAGCAACUUGACACCUCACUCCUCAGGUACCAUCUACAUUCCCACCUAACGGACCAACAAUUGGUGGAGCACACAUCCACGGUUACAUCUACAGAUUAAAUUGGACUCUGUGAGACCACAUCACCUUAGCCAUAUAAGAGAGCUGGCAGGUCCAUAUUUUCAACUGGUGGCUUGGCAUUUGUCUUGCUCCAAUAACCCAUAUUGCUUCUCCAAAAUUGGAUGCAGAAGAGAAAAAAAUAUUUAUGUGGAAGCUUGCAUAGAGCAUAUGUUCACCUCAAAAAUGCAAUAGCAAUGCUUGUGUCUACAGAAAGCUUGAACAGAGUUUGUGACUUUGGGUUGUACUUAUAUAGCAAAGGGUGGCUCUCAAAGCCGCAAGUGUCGUAAUAGUCAUUCAAGGCCUAUGCAUGCAACUGCUAUGUUUCACGUCCAACGAAUGACUGAGUAUGGAUCCAGCAAAAAUUUCAAACAUAUUCAUCAUCCUAUAAUCAUUCUAACUGCAUGCAUCGGAAUGCAAAAGUGAUGACGAAAUGCGUGCAUAGAUUCAUGAGCAAUCCCAGCCUAACAGUUGAUGGCAGACAUUUUUCCGGCAGUUUCCAAGACUAGGCAAUGUGAGCUGUUAAAAAAAAUAAAGGGUGAUUUAAUAUCUUUCUUUGUGUUUGCCGAGUGCUGACAUAUAAAGAUUGUCAACAGAAUCAUUAUGGCUAUGGAUGAUACUCACAUAACUUACAAA